UACAGAGGGGGCAAGCGUUGUUCGGAAUUACUGGGCGUAAAGGGCGCGUAGGCGGCCUAUUAAGUCAGACGUGAAAUCCCUCGGCUCAACCGGGGAACUGCGUCUGAUACUGGUGGGCUUGAGUUCGGGAGAGGAAUGUGGAAUUCCAGGUGUAGCGGUGAAAUGCGUAGAUAUCUGGAGGAACACCGGUGGCGAAGGCGGCAUCCUGGACCGACACUGACGCUGAGGCGCGAAAGCCAGGGGAGCAAACGGG
rnacentral:rRNA from 1 species